UCCUGGCCAAGAUCUUACUAAAUUGAAACACAAAGCAUUCUUUCCAAUCCCUUGGAGUGGUUAAUUCCAACUUGACUCACAUAUCGACUUCACAAGUACUUGACUGUGCCCAAAAAUCUUUCGAUCCUGAAUUAAAAAUUCAGAUAGUUUGACACCAAAGCAUAGUGAGUUGCUUGCAAGUCACCGUGGUGAUCUCAAGUCGAAGGGACACUUAUAUUCAUAUCCCUGUAGAGUGACUCU
rnacentral:lncRNA from 1 species